GCCCCGGUAAACGGCGGCCGUAACUAUAACGGUCCUAAGGUAGCGAAAUUCCUUGUCGGGUAAGUUCCGACCUGCACGAAUGGCGUAAUGAUGGCCAGGCUGUCUCCACCCGAGACUCAGUGAAAUUGAACUCGCUGUGAAGAUGCAGUGUACCCGCGGCAAGACGGAAAGACCCCGUGAACCUUUACUAUAGCUUGACACUGAACAUUGAGCCUUGAUGUGUAGGAUAGGUGGGAGGCUUUGAAGUGUGGACGCCAGUCUGCAUGGAGCCGACCUUGAAAUACCACCCUUUAAUGUUUGAUGUUCUAACGUUGGCCCCUAAUCGGGGUUGCGGACAGUGUCUGGUGGGUAGUUUGACUGGGGCGGUCUCCUCCUAAAGAGUAACGGAGGAGCACGAAGGUUGGCUAAUCCUGGUCGGACAUCAGGAGGUUAGUGCAAUGGCAUAAGCCAGCUUGACUGCGAGCGUGACGGCGCGAGCAGGUGCGAAAGCAGGUCAUAGUGAUCCGGUGGUUCUGAAUGGAAGGGCCAUCGCUCAACGGAUAAAAGGUACUCCGGGGAUAACAGGCUGAUACCGCCCAAGAGUUCAUAUCGACGGCGGUGUUUGGCACCUCGAUGUCGGCUCAUCACAUCCUGGGGCUGAAGUAGGUCCCAAGGGUAUGGCUGUUCGCCAUUUAAAGUGGUACGCGAGCUGGGUUUAGAACGUCGUGAGACAGUUCGGUCCCUAUCUGCCGUGGGCGCUGGAGAACUGAGGGGGGCUGCUCCUAGUACGAGAGGACCGGAGUGGACGCAUCACUGGUGUUCGGGUUGUCAUGCCAAUGGCACUGCCCGGUAGCUAAAUGCGGAAGAGAUAAGUGCUGAAAGCAUCUAAGCACGAAACUUGCCCCGAGAUGAGUUCUCCCUGAGACUUAGAGUCUCCUGAAGGAACGUUGAAGACGACGACGUUGAUAGGCCGGGUGUGUAAGCGCAGCGAUGCGUUGAGCUAACCGGUACUAAUGAACCG
rnacentral:rRNA from 1 species